AUUGAACGCUGGCGGCAUGCCUUACACAUGCAAGUCGAACGGCAGCACGGGAGCAAUCCUGGUGGCGAGUGGCGAACGGGUGAGUAAUAUAUCGGAACGUGCCCAGUCGUGGGGAUAACGUAGCGAAAGCUACGCUAAUACCGCAUACGAUCUAUGGAUGAAAGCGGGGGAUCGCAAGACCUCGCGCGAUUGGAGCGGCCGAUAUCAGAUUAGGUAGUUGGUGAGGUAAAGGCUCACCAAGCCGACGAUCUGUAGCUGGUCUGAGAGGACGACCAGCCACACUGGGACUGAGACACGGCCCAGACUCCUACGGGAGGCAGCAGUGGGGAAUAUUGGACAAUGGGCGAAAGCCUGAUCCAGCCAUGCCGCGUGUGUGAAGAAGGUCUUCGGAUUGUAAAGCACUUUAAGUUGGGAGGAAGGGUAGUAACCUAAUACGUUGCUACUUUGACGUUACCGACAGAAUAAGCACCGGCUAACUUCGUGCCAG
rnacentral:rRNA from 1 species